rnacentral:pre_miRNA from 1 species
ACUUCACUCCCUCCGUCCAACAAAAAAUGUAUUAAGUUUGUCAAAAUUUGGAUGUAUUUAAACAUGACUUAGUGUAUAGAUGCAUUUAAAUUUAGUCAAAGUUGAGACAUCCUUUGUUGGACGAACGAAUAUGAUUU